rnacentral:rRNA from 1 species
GAUGAACGCUGGCAGCGUGCCUAAUACAUGCAAGUCGAGCGAACAGACGAGGAGCUUGCUCCUCUGACGUUAGCGGCGGACGGGUGAGUAACACGUGGAUAACCUACCUAUAAGACUGGGAUAACUUCGGGAAACCGGAGCUAAUACCGGAUAAUAUAUUGAACCGCAUGGUUCAAUAGUGAAAGACGGUUUUGCUGUCACUUAUACAUGGAUCCGCGCCGCAUUAGCUAGUUGGUGAGGUAACGGAUUACCAAGGCAACGAUGCGUAGCCGACCUGAGAGGAUGAUCUGCCACACUGGAACGUAGACACGGUCCAGACCCCUACGAGAGGCAGCAGUAGGGAAUCUUCCGCAAUGGGCGAAAGCCUGACGGAGCAACGCCGCGUGAGUGAUGAAGUUAUUCGGAUCGUAAAACUCUGUUAGUAGGGAAGAACAAAUGUUUAAGUAACUAUGCACGUCUUGACGGUACCUAAUCAGAAAGCCACGGCUAACUACGUG